rnacentral:rRNA from 1 species
GGACCUGACUGCUAUCGGAUUAAUACUAAGCCAUGCGAGUCUUUGUAGUAAUACAAGGCAUACGGCUCAGUAACACGUAGUCAACCUACCCUAUGGACGAGGAUAAUCUCGGGAAACUGAGCAUAAUACUCGAUAGAUCAUAAUGCCUGGAAUGGUUUAUGGUCGAAAUGAUUCAUCGCCAUAGGAUGGGACUGCGGCCUAUCAGCUUGUUGGUGAGGUAAUGGCCCACCAAGGCGAUUACAGGUACGGGCUCUGAGAGGAGAAGCCCGGAGAUGGGUACUGAGACACGGACCCAGGCCCUAUGGGGCGCAGCAGGCGAGAAAACUUUGCAAUGUGCGAAAGCACGACAAGGUUAGUCCGAGUGAUUUCUGCUAAAGAGAUCUUUUGCAAGUCGUAAAACCACUAGUGAAUAAGGGGUGGGCAAGUUCUGGUGUCG